GUGUCGGUAGUGCAACGAUUCAGAACACGCUCCCGUAAAGAGUGAGAUAUGGGUUCGAAUCCUAGCUGACGCA